rfam:Podospora anserina genomic DNA, chromosome 5.
GCCCGUAUAGCUCAGUGGUAGAGCGCAUCACUCGUAAGACAUCUCGACUUGACAUGAUGAGGUCCGCGGUUCAAUCCCGCGUGGGGGCA